UUUUGGUGCAGUAGUCUUAGCCCAAUCCAUCUGAAUUCCAAAGAUCGAUCUCUUCUUUAACGACCAAAUCCACUGAACCAAAACUUCGAAAACCCUGGUGAGCAAGUUUGCUAUUUUAGGGUAUUUGUUAAGAAUGUCGGGAAAUGAGCUCCGAGGAAUCAAGAAUAGCUGAUGAAGUAGCUCAAACAAAAUCGAGGUUUGUAUGAUUUAACUUGCUAAUCUCUUUGUGUCUUGUUGAAGUGGCGUGAUUGUAGUCCAAAACCAUUAGAAAAAAUGACUCCUUGGAUUCGCAGAACUCUCAUAUUAGUCUCUCGAAACAGCUCUCAGUGUAAAUCUUCAUUCCUGCAUUCAGCAUUCCUCAUUUUCUUUUCCACUGCUAGUAAAGAGAAUCUAAAUCCAAAAUCACUUGCUUCGAUUACUUGGUCAAUCAACAGCAAAACUCCCCUGAAGCCGCUUCAAUUGUCUCAUCGUCAACUACUGAGUACCUCAAGAAACCCCAAAAUGCAGAUUCAGUGCUCAAAUUCCUCAUGGAAAGGGCUUUAUCUAAAACCUAGGUAGAAAAUGUUGUCCAAAGAGUGCCCCGUGUUCUCUCUGCUAAUCCUGAGGUUGUACCAUCAAUUCUUAUUAUGUCCAUUCAAUAGCAGCAUUCAAAACGUUUACAUGGGGCUGAAAUGGCUUUCUGAAGGUUUCCAUGUUCAUGGCGUUAUACUUUUAUUAAUUUUCACCAGAAAGUUUACUUUCACCCGCUGAAUCCUCGCACUUUCUACACGACUUCCAUUAUUGAGCUGUACCCUUGGCUCGUGUGUCAUUCUCAUCCUCACGCUCCGUGAAACUGUCCUACCGUCCUCCCACUACCCGCCCCUCCGAUCAACGCCAUGGUCCACGCCACUCUGGCUUUCGAUGAUAGUACUUGUGCAAAUUUGUUAACAACUUAUAGACCAAAGUUGAUGAGUUUUAAUUUAAUAGUUAUAAUAAAACUUUAUUAAAAUAAAAUAAAUUAAAACAACAGAUCAUAUCCAAAAACAAUCAUACAAAAGAUGCUGUCAAAUAUAUCAUGCCCGUGUGAGAACAUUGCAUAUAAAUGUUUGAGGUAUGUAAUAUUUACAACAUGUUAUUUAAGCUGUUUAUAAAUAUUCUAUUUUUCCAAGAGAUAAAUAUAUCAUGCCAGCAAACCAUGGCUACUAGUCUUUGUAAAAUCAAAGCAAAAUUGACCAAUCAAACUUAAACUCACACCCUUCUCUCCAAAUGCCAUUCCCAGCAUUUCCCAUGCAUGCAAAAUAACCUCCGCUCAUGAUUCUCCCGUUGCUCAUACACCACCCUCCCUCUCUUUACCUCCGCUCCCCAUGUUUCCAUGGCGGAGUGGCUUCCGUCCAACUCUUCUUCUAAUGUUAAUGUUCACGACCCUGUCACAUCUCAACCCCGACUCGCUUUUCAAACUGGAACCUACAUUGUCCAGGUCCCUAUGGACCAAAUUUAUCUUGUUCCUGCACCGGAAAAUGCUAAACAACAUCGAAAUCCUGAAGCAAAGAAGGAAGCUUAUCGUUGUUAUAGCCAAUUGUGUUGCUUUAUAUUCAUUGUUAUUGUUGUUAUUUCCAUUGCCCUCACUCUGGGAUUUUCUUUUUCUCUCCUUAAACCUAAGAAUCCCGAGU